rnacentral:rRNA from 1 species
UACAGAGGUGGCAAGCGUUGUUCGGAAUUACUGGGCGUAAAGGGCGCGUAGGUGGUCUUGUCAGUCAGACGUGAAAUCCCCGGGCUUAACUCGGGAACUGCGUCUGAUACUACAAGACUUGAGUUCGGGAGAGGGAUGUGGAAUUCCAGGUGUAGCGGUGAAAUGCGUAGAUAUCUGGAGGAACACCGGUGGCGAAGGCGACAUCCUGGACCGGUAUUGACGCUGAGGCGCGAAAGCCAGGGGAGCAAACGGG